GUUGGACUUACUAAAACCAGCGUUUUUUGCUCUCAAGUACAACUUUUCAUCACAAAACUUCAAAGGGGAAAAGCUGACUGAGCACUUAUGAGCUGUCAUGCGUCAGUUCAUUCAGUUACAUGCAGUCACACCUGGGAGCUUCAGAGUUCAACCACAGUCCUUCAACCAUCAGCCACGAGGUUAAGUGCUUCCCUCAAACGCCACCUCAGUGACGGUUGCUGAGGGCAGAGUGUGGUGAAGGUGGCUGCUGUCAGGCGUGAGGGUUUAUGUGCGCCAAGAAGAAGAAGAAGAAGAAGAAGAAGAAGAAGAAAAAUAUAUAGAUAUAAAAUUUCAAGCCGAG